GGGCCGGUGGAACAGCCUGGAGUGUUCGUCUCCCUGUCACGGAGAAGAUCGCGGGUUCAAAUCCCGUCCGGCCCGCCA
rnacentral:tRNA from 5 species